AAAGAAAGGGUUUGAAAUAAACCUUAAGAAUAUGU
rnacentral:tRNA from 1 species